rnacentral:snRNA from 1 species
GGAUGUGAGGGCGAUCUGGCUGCGACAUCUGUCACCCCAUUGAUCACCAGGGUUGAUUCAGCUGAUCUGGCUGGCUAGGCGAGUGCCCCCUUCCUCCCUCACCGCUCCAUGUGCGUCCCUCCCGAAGCUGCGCGCUCGGUGGAAGAGGACGACCAUCCCAGAUAGAAGGAGUGUACCAUUCUUUGGUCAAGGGUAUACGAUAGCUGUGCUCCCCUGCUAGAACCUCCAAACAAGCUCAAGGUCCAUUUGUAGGAGAACAUAGGGUAGUCAAGCUUCCAUUUAAUGUAAU